CAGCAGCCGCGGUAAUACGGAGGAUGCGAGCGUUAUCCGGAUUUAUUGGGUUUAAAGGGUGCGUAGGCGGGACUUCAAGUCAGCGGUGAAAGUUUAUGGCUCAACCAUGAAAUUGCCGUUGAAACUGUAGUUCUUGAGUGUAGAUGAGGUAGGCGGAAUUCGUAGUGUAGCGGUGAAAUGCUUAGAUAUUACGAAGAACUCCAAUUGCGAAGGCAGCUUACUAGGCUACAACUGACGCUGAGGCACGAAGGUGCGGGUAUCGAACAGGAUUAGAUACCCUGGUAGUCCGCACAGUAAACGAUGAAUACUAACUGUUUGCGAUACACAGCAAGUGGUAAAGCGAAAGCGUUAAGUAUUCCACCUGGGGAGUACGCCGGCAACGGUGAAACUCAAAGGAAUUGACGG
rnacentral:rRNA from 1 species